GCAAAGCAUUUCCGGGCGGACUCGCCCUCAAGUCUGUCGGUCCGCCCAGGCUGUUCCUCAGUUCUAGCCCUCCGGAUAGGACCCCACCCGCUCACGGACAGCGGCUCCGCUCCGGGCCCGCGGCCGAGCCCCUUCAGCAAACGCGCCUUUUUUUUAAUUUUCAAAAGUUACGGGCUGCUCUCACACACAAAGCAGGGAGUGGACGGCAGCGCUUCUCUACGGUGCUUGAAGAUCAUUUUUGAGAAGCAUGUCCUCUGAGCAAACUGAGAGAUGAUUCACAGAUGAUGCUGCAGGUCUCCACAGCAACCUUCCUAAACAACAACAACAACAACAGCUGGAGAAGGAAGAGGAUGGCCUUCCUGCAAAGGAGGCAGGAGAGGAGGGAGACGGCUGCAGAGGCUGGAAGAUAAUACACCGGAUGGAUAGCCGGCGAAGUGACAUCCAGACACACAUGAACACAUCCCAGUGAGCUGAGCAGAGUAUUCCAGACUAACCUGCCUGAUGAUGUGAAACUGGAGAUGCAACACACUGUAUAGUGGAGUUUUUCAGGCUGCAGUAUCCUGAUGGCAGAGCUCUUCUAAGAUAGGAGGAAUCCUGACAGAGGAGGAGAGUCCAACAAAAGGGCUGCAUGCAUUCCAACGGAGGAGAGACUGAGAGAGCUGACCAAUCAGAGGAAGAAGAAGGCUAAACACCUCUGAUAACUGCACACUGAGGCUCAGGCUGCAGUGCUGACUGCUAACACUGCUCAGAGUAUUGCAGCUUCUUCUCACUCACCCAGCCUGCUCCUCCUGCUGUCAGCACUGCACAGUUGCAGUGGUCGACGGGAGCUGAAGCAACAUCUGAUGCACUGAAGCAGGACACGCAAUCUGACCUGGCAUUGGGUAAUCAGAUUACUCGAAACCUUUCCAUUUAUAUGUGGCUAAUAGCAGGGGCUAGGUAAGAGCUGCCCUUACGCAGGAUCCCCCAGUAGGUAAGCAGCUCCUGCUUUAUUACAGUAUAAAACUGGAUAACAUGAAAGCUGUUUUCUCACCUUGCUAUCAAGGUUUGAUGGCAGCAGACUUUUAAUUAUUAAAGAUGUAAUAAUGUUAACCCUGUUUCCAAAAUGAACUCAUGAUUGUGCCACAGACUGACAAAUUCAGGAGCUGAGAAAAUUAAUGUGCAUAAUGAAUUUAUUACAGCUAAUUUAACACUGCUUUUGGAGGGUUCUUGCUUUAGGGAUGAGUGUGGCUGUAAUGUGGGCUGCACAGUUGUUUAACUUAAUUCUGCAGGUGUGAGUUUUUCUAGAAGCUCAGAAGGUUGAUCUGCUGAGUUCAUCGCUGAUCUCAGAUCAGAAAGCUUUAACAGCAGCUUGUACACUGGCUACAGGUAA